UAUAUUCCAACGAACGGAUGAGUAAAUCGGGAUGACCUUUACAGAGAGCCGGUGUAAGCUGAAAGCCGGUAUGGACACCUUGUUGAAGAUGGUCCGGGAGGAACUGUAUUCGAGCCGUAGACUGAAGUUAGCAGUCUCGUGUAAGAUAACGGCGUGUUCCAGCGUUAAUGGGCAGUUCUUAUGAACUGGUGAAGCCUGAUCUCUGCGAAGAGACAGGGAAUUUUGGGUGGUAACGCGUGAGUUUACUCUCGCCCCAUAU
rnacentral:ncRNA from 1 species